GAAGCUAUUGCAAAAUAAUAAGAAGCAUUAAAGUUUUAAAUUCCUACAAAAUAUCAAGUCUCUUACGUGAAAAAAAAAAUCAUCAUGUAUUUGAAAUACGCUAAUAUCUUAUUAUUCUUGUUUUGUUUUUAUCAAGUAUCAAACGCAGCAAGAUUUACUAAAGAGCAACUGCAAACAAUUUAUGAAGACACCAAAGAGCUUAGUUUAAGUAAUAUGGAACAGCUAAAAAUGAAGAUUCCUGAACAUUUAAAAGAGGGACUAGUUAACAGGCAUCACGUAAGAAAUUACUUUUUUGAAGACUCAAAAUUCGCUGCAUUCAAUCUUACACUUGAACAAAUGGAUAAAAUAACAGAACCAUUGAUACAGGAUAAUAUUAAUACCCCAUUCGAGAUGUUUACAGCUGUUAUGAAUAGAGAUAUAAGCGAUUUAUAAAUUGGCUGCCUCUAAGCAAGGCUACAAAUUUACUACAACAUCCAAUCAUCGUUCACUAUAUUCCAAAGGAAAAACUAAAGUGUUUGCUUUAUCUCUUAAAAAAAAAUCACAUUACUAUGUUGAUAUCUUAUUUUUAAGUUUUUAUGUAUUUAUUUUAAAAAUUUUAAUGGGUGUGUGGGUUAUUUUUGUUGUUUUAAUCGAUUACUGUAUUAU